rnacentral:miRNA from 1 species
UGUGGCUCUGUGUGUCCAGAUC